rnacentral:tRNA from 1 species
GGGGUUGUGGCUCAGUGGAAGAGCACUCACCUAGCAUGUGUGAGGCACUGGGUUCGAUCCUCAGCACCA